UACGUAGGGUCCGAGCGUUGUCCGGAAUUACUGGGCGUAAAGAGCUCGUAGGUGGUUUGUCGCGUUGUUCGUGAAAACCGGGGGCUUAACCCUCGGCGUGCGGGCGAUACGGGCAGACUGGAGUACUGCAGGGGAGACUGGAAUUCCUGGUGUAGCGGUGGAAUGCGCAGAUAUCAGGAGGAACACCGGUGGCGAAGGCGGGUCUCUGGGCAGUAACUGACGCUGAGGAGCGAAAGCGUGGGGAGCGAACAGG
rnacentral:rRNA from 1 species